rnacentral:rRNA from 1 species
UCGAGGAUCUUCGGCAAUGGGCGCAAGCCUGACCGAGCGACGCCGCGUGUGCGAUGAAGGCCUUCGGGUUGUAAAGCACUGUCGGGGGGAAGAAAAGCCGCAAAGCUUGAUCGACCCCCGGAGGAAGCACGGGCUAAGUUCGUGCCAGCAGCCGCGGUAAGACGAACCGUGCAAACGUUAUUCGGAAUCACUGGGCUUAAAGGGCGCGUAGGCGGGCUCGCCAGUCAGGGGUGAAAGCCUCCAGCUCAACUGGAGAAGUGCCUUUGAUACUGCGAGUCUCGAGGGAGGUAGGGGCGUGCGGAACUUCCGGUGGAGCGGUGAAAUGCGUAGAUAUCGGAAGGAACACCGGUGGCGAAAGCGGCGCGCUGGACCUCUUCUGACGCUGAGGCGCGAAAGCCAGGGGAGCAAACG